UGGAUAGCAGAUUGAUCCAUGAUAGCGCUGUGAGACUGAGCCAGUGCAGGCAGGGCCUCUGAGACUUGGAAAGCUGGAUCAUAAAAGAUAGCAGAGGUCCUGCCUGUGGUUUUGAUACUCACUCUUAGAACUCAACUACCGAUACAAAGAAGUCCAAACCAACUCGAGUUGGAGGCCCCUGGCAAGUUCCCCCUCCUGCGACCCAGCUGAGGCCCUAGCCAACAGCAGUAUUAAUGGCCAACUGUGUGGAUGAAGAAGCCCCUGAGGGGCCCGCCUCCCAGGACAUGGGCUGCCUCCAGCCUUUGAGUCUUCCCAGCCGAAGCUUCGAAUGUCUUGGAGCAGAAACAAUCUAGAGCAUUCUGCUGUGUUUGGAUUCCUGACCUGAAGAAUCUAUGGAUGGCAUUCACCUGAACUGCUUCACAGAGGAGAUCUCCAAGUGAUGGUGAGGAACGGCAACCACUUAGCAUCCAUUCGAGCCAGACUAUGCACUCACGCGAUGGACAGUUCCCCUGGCGCCUCAGGCUCCAGCAUUGAGUGCAUCUUUGGCGUCUCUCUGUUUUUCUAAACCAAGCAAAUGCAACAUCGAAGUUCAAAGAGACAUUGUACACUGGGUGCAAAUCCUGAACCAGCAGAAGAUGAGAAUCGGUGGGCGAAUGACCCUGAAUCCGUUUGUGAGGUCAAUUCUGGGUCUCCUCAGAGGUUUGCACAUAGGACCCAGCAGACUGUUCAACAGCUCCUGUGAAUGCUUUUAAUGGUUUAAAUACUGUACUUAUUAUCCCUUUCUUUAUACCCUCAGUUUUACUCCAUAGGAUCAUCUUUCAAAUAAACCACCAGCACCUACAACCUUGUCCCGGGCUCCACUUCUAGGAUGAACUCAAACUAAGACAAGUUAUGGAGUUAGGGUUUCUCAGGAAAGGUUGUAUUUAGAGACAAGUACCCUCCUUAUUAGAAAUAUUAAUGUGCUGGAAGCCUCAAAGUUCCAGCCUGCUUCACUGACAGUGAUCUAGUGAAAUUUACAUAGCUGCUUCUUAUUUCUAUAAUCAGAAAAAGAUUAAAUAGGUCUCAUUUUUCUGGAAAUACAGAAUUGUACGAUUCCUAUUUCUGUAUGAGAACUCGUUUCUUUUCUCCUUGAUCCACAAAUUAAACUUACAGCUAUAGGACAACCAUAUUAAUUUUUUAAACGCAGUAACAUUUUGACUAAAUCUUCUAAGAAGUAAUUAUCCUGUUUUCAUUAAUGCUAAUAUAUUAUUGCAGAAACAUUUUUUUUUUUAAACACAACUAAAAAGCCCAAGAAUGUCAAGGGCUGGUAAAACCAUGUGGUAGAUUAACUGAUGGUCAGUUUAAGUGGGAAUGCCCAGCUGAACUGAGUCAGCAUGGUUCUGGCCAUGGAGACCCCACCUGAGGAUUGUCAUCAGAACAGAAAUCAAAGGAGAACAGGAGGGGAGGAUUUGCUGCUGAUUCUCCUUGGAAGGUCCUUACUCCAGAAUGAUGGUGCUUCUGCUAUGGUUCACCUAUGGGGGCUGCCAGAGACCCCAGAAAGCAUCUCAUCUCCUGCCCCCUUCCUACCCUCUGGAAGAGCAGAGGCUGCUGAGCUUUGGCUGCUGUUCCCCUCAGAGGAGCUCUAUCCUGGGUGUCAUCUCCUGGCUCUCAGUCAUCUCCAGACUCUUUGGCCUUCACCACCAGCCUCUGGGCUUUCCCGGGCAGACCCUCAGUCUUCCCUCAAAGACUCCUCGGCUUUCUGAUGCAGACUCAAGAGGACAUUGCUGUGGGACCCAGACCCUCAGCUGGAUUCUUCAGAUCUCCAGUGUACGGACAAGUCUCUUGCACUCUUCUGCACUUGACUUUCAGGUGAAUAUUAUACAAUAAUCCUAUGAAUUACGUAUCCUGUAUUAAAUUUAUCCCCUUGCAAACCCUGACUACCACAAAACAUAUGGCAAAUGUAGUGAAGGGAUGAACAAUGGCGUGGUUAUGAAGCUUCUUUAAAUAUCAAUAAUAGGUCAUUGAUGAUAAUUUAAUUAUCAAAACACAUAUAUAUUGUGAAAUUAAUCUCAAGACUUUGAAACUUGAUUUUAUAUAUUAGCAUGAAAUUAACAUAAGCUACUUUGAGACCUUUAUGAAACAUAACACUACGGUGAUACACUAUACUACAUUAUUCACUUUUGGCUCCAAAGUUUUAAUGUCCAAUAAACCACAUUGUAAUUUUAAUGUGAUAAAAUUUCUGGAACACAAUUGUAUGAAAAGUGGUGUAUUUGUAAAAGUCUAAUGAAAAGUGGGGGAUUUGUAAGUCAGAUGGCCUAUGGAAGUAAUUAAA